CUUCCAAUCUUAUCGCCAUCCUGCUUACCCAUGGCUUCCUCAAUCCACCGCCAGUCCUCACAAUUCCAUCCUCUCCAUCUCUCACUCCUUUCCAAUAUUUCUGCUGCUUUGCCGGGUCUCGCUUCUUCGCAAGAACUGUGUCUUCAGCAAUAUGAAGGAUGAUGACUGUGCACCGGAGAAGAAAGGCAUCACGGCGGAUGAUCUAAAGACUGCUCCGAUGGAUUGGCGCUUCCCCGCUACCAAUCAAGCCAAACACUGUUACUACAGCUACAACGAAUUCCACAAAUGUGCAGCAGAGAAGGGAGAACAUGACAAGGAUUGCCGGAAGUAUGCCCGCUACUACCGCUCUUUGUGCCCUGGACAUUGGGUACAAUGACCGUCCCUCCCCAUCUCUUUCUCCUGGUUUCGCAACAGAUGCUUCAGAAACACAACCCCAGCGUCCAUGAUCUAGAAUUCCACUCAUGGCUCACACUCCGAUUGAAAAAUGGAAUGAAGAAAGGGCUAAUGGUACAUUUCCAGGACGAUAUUGAGAUUAUUUUGUGUUUGAUUUUAAAUUUUGUUUAAUUUCAAUUAAAUGAGUUGUAAAAGGCCUCAUUAAUCAUUAUAAUGGACAUUGAAAUGUAUUUCUUACUUAAAAGAUGUAUUUCACAAUUUUCAUUUGACUCACAUGUUCUAUCAAUCAUUCAGUACAUGGGUUAAUUUUUUUUACUUUU